rnacentral:lncRNA from 1 species
CCGUCUUCUCUGGCCACCUCCCGCAUCUCCUUGGACGCAGACCGCUGCAAGUACGCCGUGGGCUACGCGCUGCACAUCCUCGCCGGCGACGGCGCCACAUGCUACUCAUUCUUCUCCAUCGACGUGCUCCACGGCCAUCCCCUUCAAGUACGCGCUGCUCCCUGAGGACGUCCACACCGUCUGCACGAAGCUGGGGUUCGGAUCACCGUCGGCCAAACUGCAGUAUUAGCGCUUUCUAUCAGUUCGCUAGGAUGUAUUUCAUGGCCGUCGUUCCUCGCACUUAGUUAGCCUGAUCUAUCAAAUCGCAGUAUUAGCGCUUUCUGUGGUCUCACAUCGCAGUUUUCUCUGCCCAAACUGCAGGAGGCAUGAAGAGAUUGGCUAUAGACCAGGCAGGAGAAUAGGGGAUAGGAAAACGCAGAAAACUGCCACGCAAUAUAUGUUCUCUUGCACGUUUGAAUCCUGAUUUGGAUUCUCCUACAGAUUUGAAUUUUUUUAUCAUACCAACUAGCUUGUUAUUUUUUCGUGAGUAUAAUGAUAUGCCUGGUGCCCAAGGCUGUGCUUUUCCUCCUCAUAGUCCAAGUUACUCGAAAAUAGAUAUCAUAGCCCUGGAUUUGAUUGCAGUAGAAGUAUCAUAGAUUCAUCUCCACACAUACCCCAUCUGUGGAUGUCAAGCCAAUCACCCUGAUUCCUAUAUGCUAGCCUAAGUUGUGAAUCGUUGUCUCCUUAGGACUAUUAAACCUAGAAAUUCUCAAAAUAAAGCAAAACAUCAAGCCCUUGAUCAUGUGGACCUUACUUCAAAAAGCAUGGAUGUGAUCUAAUAUAAGCUUAUUCUUUGAUUUUCCACCGAGAUUCCUCACGCUGUGCACAGAUGAAAGAUGUUGGGCCAUUCAAAUGGCUUCUUCAGCACGCCGUCAUCCUCUCCUCCUCUAGCCAACAUCGAUGGCAUUUCGGUGUUGAGAAGAGAGUAUCGUGUCACAUAUAUGCUGCUUGAUUCCCUGGAUUCUGGAUCUCCUCGGGAAAAAGUAGGUGAACGAUUUGCAAAGGUGCAGAUUAAUAUGGCAUGAUAACCCUGUUUUUAUUCUUCGGUUUAUUUUGAUCCCAGGCAUUAGAAGGAUUUUCUUUUUGGCUGUUACGCUGCUCUGCUAGGCAUUAGAAGGAUUUCGUUUUUUACUGGUACACCUGCUCUGCACCAUUAUCUAAAUAAAAUCCUAAGAAGAGUAUGUCUGUAGCUAGCUUUCACUUGCUUCUGUUUUGGGAAAUGUAGGAACAAUACAGCAUGUACUCCUAUGUCCUGCAUAUGAACGUGAGACGAAACUGAGGCACACCCUACUGUAUUAAUACCGGUGACUCAUGUUCAGCUAAUUGUUUUACACACUUUUGUAUGGGCACUGUUUAGUAUCGUAUUAGAUUUAUCAUUCUCCGCAAAAAUAAUAAUAUAGGAUAUUAUGAUUGUCCAGUAAAAUAGAGUAGGCCAAUCUAUAGGAUGAAGUAAGUUAAUUUUGUUUUAUUCACAGGAAUGCAUGUGUUUUAUCACUCACUAAUUAUAUGGGGUUUUCACACAUACAAGUGAUGCAUUUAACAUAUUUUGAGAGGAAAUAGGUUGUUUUUUUAUUGUUUUUUUUCUUCAUAGAAAUAAAAGUCGGUUUUCAGAGAGAUGUUGGUUUCAGCCUUGGCCUUCUUCAGUUGAAAGAUCACGCUGUUUUACUUACUUUUGGAGGAUUCCGUCAUUUUCAGAAGUCAAUAUCUCAGCAGCAAGCUGGCAACUUGGCCAAUGAUGUUGGACGAACCAAUUCUUUUAGACUCAAAUUCUUGGAUUGGUGCUGUAUAUUCUGAAUUUCUUUUGUGAACAAAAGUGAGGAGUGGGAGAGGAUCUGCAAUUGUAAAAUUUGCUUGUUUUCAUUGGAAUUGUCUACUAAUUAUGAAAUGAUUUUUAUUUCU